rnacentral:misc_RNA from 1 species
GCUCUUUUGAAAGGGAAAGAAAGCAGCAAAAGUUGGUAAAACCUCAAUCAACGGCUGCCCAUCCUUAUGGUAGACGAAUUUGAGCUCCUUCUCGUCCACAGCAUCCCGCCCGCAAGCUCCGAUCCCGAGAGCAUAAAUCGCCACAUCUCUUUCAUCGUAGGAGAAAGUGGUCUCAGGGAAUUUGUGGGAGAUGACGAGGUCUGGAUCGAUGGUGGAGAUCGCCAUGGCUCCUGAUGGUGCCGCUGCU